rnacentral:rRNA from 1 species
AGUGAAAUAGAACCUGAAACCCUGCACUUACAAGCUGUGGAAGCACAUUUCUUGUGUGACCGCGUACUUUUUGUAGAACGGGCCAACGAGUUACGUUAAGUAGCCAGGUUAAGCACUUAAGGUGCGGGGCCGUAGCGAAAGCGAGUUUUAACUGAGCGUUCAGUUACUUGACGUAGACCCGAAACCGGGCGACCUACCCAUGAGCAGGAUGAAGCGAAAGUAAAAUUUCGUG